CAGGCCUCUGGGUCGAGCCAACCCCACUCCACCCCCCCACCCCAGCCGUCCCAUGGCUGGGUCCCUCAGGGCUCGAUCUGCCUCACAGAGCUCUGUGAUCCCCAAAGGCAACGUGGCCCGUGGGGGGCGGGAAGGCUUAUUAUGCCCCCAUGACCUCUACCUGGCCUUCCUCAGCACAGUGCCGAGGCCCUGGGAAGUGGCAGGGAGCAGGACCAGAACUUAAGACCUGCAGCUAAAGCCCAAAGAAGAAACCCAGCAGCCAAGAGGAAACAAACUGCAACGGCCCGCCUGCCUGAGGUGAAGAGUUCAACUGGAUUUGAGGUCAGUGAGCGACACUGCAACCUUUCCUGCACAAAUGGGGGGCAGGCCUGCUCGGCUCCUGCCUGAAAGAUGGGGUCAGAUGCCAUCUGGCCUCGAGACAGCUUCUCCUGGGUCAACCGGCCGCUGCCCACUGCUCUUGGGUCUGGAUCCCCUCAGUGUGUGGUCAUGUAACUUGUAAUGCAACUGCCCCCCGCCCCAGCGAAGCUUUCCACAUCCUCGCCUACUGGUGAAAUGGUGGGCAUUGGCAGAACUAACUCCAGAAGCACGAAAUUGCUGCUCUGAAGGAACCCUGGUGAUCAUUUGGUCCUGUGGUCACUUAAGGGUCCUGAGACCUUGUUAAAUGCAGACUCUUGGUACCUCCCCGAGAUGCUAAGAUGCCGUCAUGCUGGCUUGUAGAGGGACCCAGGACUCUCUGAACUUUCAGCAAGCCCUCGAAGUUUCUCCGUGGACAAACCCAGGGCGGGGAGUCACUGGUUUGCUGUCUGCCAUCCUUCACCAGCACGCAAGCCGGCGUCGCGGGCCAUGCUGGGCAGAUCCAGGCCACCGUGUGUGCUCUGGCGGGGAGGCGCCGUCCCCUCAGGGCCUCACGCUGCCUCCUGCAGCUCAGUUCUUUGGCGUCUUCUCUUUAGCUGCCCCGCCUGGAGGGUGGGGUGAAAAAACUGGCUUCUUUGGGGAUUCUUCGAUCAAAACCUUAUUAAAAAUACAAGCAGGAUAAAAGUCCUGACUUCUUCCCCAUAAAAAGCACCAGAAUGAAGAGAGAACGAAAUUUUCCUCAACUCAUGCUUCAUUAAAACACUCACGCUCCAAAUUACUCUCUAAAAAGCACAGACUGAUUUCUGGCAUCAUUAUUAGCAAUGGUUAUACAGGUGGACCUUGCUUCACUGUGCUUCACAGAAAUUGAGUUUUUUACAAAUUGAAGGUUUGUGGCAAUCCUGUGUUGAGCAAUUCUGUUGGUGCCAUUUUUCAAACAGCAUUAGUUUCUAACUAAGUGGCCUGGAACCAAGCCCAGGGUAUCUCGGAGGUCUGCCUGCAACAGGAACCGAAUCACUACGCGUGCUGGCCAGACAUGCAGCUUAACCCGAGAAACGGUGAGUAACCAGAUCCCUUCUUCCCUGUGGAGAAGUACAGAAGUGUGUUCUGAGACCUGCAGUCCUCAGACGGGGCUUCAUCCUCCCGGGCUCGCAGCAGAGACUCUGCCUCGCUGAGCCCAUAAUCAGUUUGGGGAUCCUUCUACUCACAUCGCUCAGGAAAUCAGUUGAUUACAGUAUUGCGCAAUUUUCAAUCUGUUAGCAGCUAUUCCAUUACUCCUUCCCCCAAAGCAACAACCACCUGCCCAGAAGGACUCUAUCUGGGCAGGUCUUGGCUGGGGACAGGCCAAACCUGUGCAUUCAUCUCUUCCUGUUUGUUUGCUAGAGGACUCUAGUCUCUCUGAGUGUGGAGCUGAGCGGCUGGAGCCAGGCUGAGGGCCUCUGCGGCCAGGCCGUCUCAUCCCACGACAGCAGCUCAAACAUGAACUGGGUUCUCAGGUCAGUUCAGCUCAGCAACAGCACCUGGGGGACCAGGGUCCCUGAGUCCCGCCAGCCUCAGGUGCACAGUCCCGGUGACAGCACUGCCAUCACCCAUCCCUACUUCCCCUGCCCCACUCCGUCCUGAUUUAAUGGGCUGGGGUGUGGCCUGGGGGUUAGCAAAGCUCCCCUGGAUGAUUCUAUCGCACAGCUGGGGUAGAGAACCACUGCCUGGAAGGAAGCCCCACCCACUGUGGGCAGGGCCAGCAGGAGCGGGCGCUUCCCUCGUGCACAUGUGUGCCCUCCCUCCCCAUCCACCCCGGCAACCACAAGCAUGUCUCCUCUAUCCUGUCACUUGUUUGAGGUAAUGUACUUAGGGCAAAAUUAAGCAAGGGUCUGGCAAUUCAGGUGAAAAGGGAAGUAGAGAACAGGCCUUUUGAAGUACCGCAUUUUCACAAAAACAAUUUUUGUCUGUUAGAUCUAGAGGAAAGUUCCUCAAACAAGCAGCAGGCUGGCUGAAAACGUUCGGAAGUAACAGUUAAAAAUUCCAGAUCUGUCCUGGGCCUGGCGAUGCCAUCAGGCUCUGACAACCCCAAGCAGUGGGUGGAGGAGCAGCAAGGUGCAGGGACAGCACCAGCGGGGAGUUACAUCCACCUCCUCUCCCUCUGGAGGGGUUGGUUCAUUUUACCAUUUGACAAAAUGUAGAAGUGUGAGAUUUGCUGACACCCAAACAGGCCAGCGCUCUGAAUCCCUCACCUCCCACCCCGGCCAACUUUUCUCCCAGUCGCCCCCAUCUCAGGGACCACUACCAGCCGGCUACUCGGACCCAAACUGCAGACGUCACCCUGGAUGACUCUCUGCCCCUCCCCAUCGGGUCCUGUCGACUCCACCUGCCAAGCACACCCCAUUCCUCCCAACUCCUACCUUAGGGCUGUCGCCCCUGCUGCACCGAAACCACCUCCCAAACUUUCCCACGCUUGUACAAACGCAGCCCAAGCCAUGUUUUAAAACGGGACCAGAACAUGCCACUACAGGGGUUUCCCAAAGACUCGAGAUGAACACUCAAGCCUCCACUUUUCUCUCACAGCCCCGCUGCCUCCAGUCUAGCUCCUCCUUCCCGCAGGCUCAUCACCAUCUGCCUCGCCUGCCCUGCCACUGAGCUUUGCUCCUCAGCCUGUCUUCCCCCAGAUAAGCCGUCCCAAAUCACUUACCCCAGAGGAGUCUCCCGUCACCGUCACAUCCCUUUAUUUUAAUUCCUGCACUCCACUCAGACCAUCUGGUUUUUCAUUGUCUAUGUGAACUUUGUGUUUUUUUCUGCUUUAAACAUUCUAUCCCAUCUAAUACCUGGUCUCCUGACUGCCCCCAGGGCCUGCAGAAGCUCCGGCACCAAGUCGGUGCUCCACAGAUACCUGUGGAAGAGCAACCAAGCCCAGCUCCAAGCCUACAGCAGCAGCCAGAGCUGACAGCUCAGCCGAUAACCUCAUCGAGAACAGCACAGACAGGUAAAGCCUCCCUUCUCGUGGGUGCGUAAACGAGACACAUUCAUGUUCUUGAAGUCAGCGUCACUUUCUGGACCAUAAAUGUGCCCGUCACACGUAUAGGGUCAUAGGAAACACACCGUAACAUGGGCUGUGUGUCAGAAGUUUCAGGAUUGUGGAGUUCCAGAUGGUUUCCCUGCCCUGGUAACAGUGCAGACCUGGGUCCAGCCCCUCAGGAUGUCACCCAGUGGAGACAGGAAUCUCAGCCCCCCAAGCCCUGAGGGGUGGUUCUGGCGAAGGGAAGGUGGUAUGCAGGUAGAGCUGGGUGGCGAGAAGAUGACAGGGGAAAGUCAAGGGCCACCAGGAGAGUUGCCAGAUCAUCAUCUUGGUCCCAGCUGGAAACCAAGACUCCUCCAAGAAGGUCCAAACCCAGCUCCCAGACCUGGUGGCCAGGCCCAGCUCACCCAACCAGUGAGAUGCCAGUGUCCACGAGUUCAUUAACUGCAUGAGCUGAUCCCGGGGAAGACAAAUGUCAGUUCAACCUAAAGAAAAUAUCUACUUCUUAAAUCAUCUUUUGGGAGGAGGAGAUCAAGGUGGCAGGGCAGAAGGACGUGGAGCUCACCUCCCCCCACAAAUACGUCAAAAAUACAUCUACAACUGGAACAAUUCUCAUAGAACACCAACUGAAAGUGCUAAAUGAAAAAGUGGAGGAAGCAGUCCCAAUUAAAAGAAAAAGAGAAGUCGCCUGAAAGAACAGACAGUGAAUACCAACUGGAAGCGGGCAGAAGAUCUCAUACAACUGAAGCUGUAAGAAAGAUCCCCAUGUAACCUGGUAAGACUAAAGGGAAGAAGGCGGGGGAAUCAAGGUGGGACCUGUGCUCCUGGGAGGGAGCCAUGAAAGAGGAAUGGUUUCCUUACCCUGGGAACCUCCUUCGCCGGCUGGGAGCUCAGCCAGGACAGAUAGGUAGCUGCAGGAGCCUGGGAUUUGCCCAAGAGGAGUGUGCACAGACUGGCUUGCUUACAAGCAGGAUAGAGAGGAACCGACACUGACUGCUGCCACGUCACCACACUUCCCAGCCCAAGACACGCACUUACUGGUGUGCGCAGUGCCUGGGUGCUGAAACUCGGGCUUCAGCGGACAGACUCGAGGAGAGGACUUGGUUUGGCUAUUUGGACAUAGCCCGAAGGGCCUAGGAUGUGGUCCAGGCCGCAAAUGGGGGUGUGUGGGGGACAGAGCGUGGGUCCGUCAUGGAAGCCUCAUUCACACCAUGCUCGCAGCGGGCACAGCUUCCGGAGCUCCCACUUUGUGAGUGUGCACGUGAUGAAGGCAGGCAGAGCCGACGCACGCACUCUGGCAGUAGAGGGUAGGCUGAUUUUGUGGGUGUGCACACCAGGUGAUGGGUGGUGUCACAGAGUUGCCUGUCCCAGCAAACAGGUCCUGCAGAGGAACACCCAGCAACUCCUUUCCAGGGGGAGUGCUCCAGUCUCACCUACCUCACACUGCAGCUUAGAACCAGACCUGGGGGCUUUUACUCCAACAACUGGGGAGCAAGCCCUACCCCCGACAGGGCUGUGACAACCAAAGAGGAAGCCCCGCCCAAUAUCCAGUGCAGGCUCUGGUCACCACAGCACCAAACACACCCCUUAUCAAGGGGACAGUGGCCAGCACACUCUGAGCAAAGUCAUGGCAGGCAUCCACACCAAAUGUAGCCCUCGCAUCAAAAAUAUUGGACUUACACAGUCUACAAAGGGAUGCUCCCACAUAAAAGCAGCCUUUCAAGACCACAGUACGUAACUGUUUCUCCUAAAUUCUUAGCGUAAGAGAAAUGAAAGUAAAAUGACAAAGCAGAGGAAGUACUCCCAAUUAAAAGAAAAAAAGAAGUCCCCGAAAGAAAAAACAAUGAAACAGACCUCUCCAGUCUACCAGACCGCUGAGUUCAAAAAGGAGGUAAUAAAAAUGCUGAAGGAAUUAAGAAAGACUAUCAGUAGAAAUGGAGAUCACUGUAACAAGGAACUGGAAACCAUAAAGAGACAAUCAAAAUUAGACAACUCAAUUGCCAAGAUAAAAACCGAGCUAAAGGCAAUAAAUAGCAAACUAAUUAAUGCAGAAGAACGAAAAGUGAUCUGUAAGAAUAACAGAAGUCACCCAACAGAACAGCAGACAGAAAGACAAAUGAAAAAAAUGAAAGCAACAUACGAGACAUAUAGGAUAAUAUAAAGUGUGCCAGUCUACACAUAAUAGGAAUUCCAGAAGGCGAAGAAAGGGAAAAGUGGAUCAAGAUGUAUUUGAAGAAAUUAUGGCUGAAAACUUUCCAAACCUAAAGAAGGAAACAUAUCCAGGGACAAGAAGUACAGAGAGUCCCACACCAAGACAUAUAAUUAAAAUGGCAAAAGUUAGGAUUCUAAAGGCAGCAAGAGAAAAAGAGUCAGUUACAAGGGAACCCCCCCCCAUAAGGCUAUCAACUGAUUUCUCUACAGAAACAUUGCAGGCCAGAAGGGAGUAGCAAGCUCUAUUCAAAGUCCUGAAAGGGAAAACUCUGCAACCUAGUAUACUCUACCCAGCAAGAUUAUCAUUUAGAUUAAAAGAAGAGAUAAAGAAUUUCUCAAUCAAAAACUAAAAGAAUACAGCAAUACUAACCCUAUCCUAAAAGAAAUAUUGAAAGGUCUUCUUCAAAUAGAAAUGAAGCAAGAACCUAUAAGAAAGGGGAAAAUCACAAUAGGAAAGGCAGAUAUAUAAAAGGAUUGAAGGUCAGUUAAAUAAGCCAGUACAUAGAUUAAAAAAUUUUUUUUUAAAUUUUCUGAGUGUGAUUACAACUACAAGGAACAGCAAAUGGAUAAACAUGAAGAUGUAAAAUGGACAUCAAAAUGUGGAGAAGGGUAGUAGGAUAAUGUACAUCUUUUAGAGUGUAGAGCUUUCAUGACUAUCAGUCUAAAGCAAGCAGUUAUAGUUAUGGGUUACCAUAUUUGAAAACCAGGGUAACCACAAAUUAAAAACAUACGGUAACAGAAACAUAGAUCAAUGGAACAAGAUAGAAAGCCCAGAGAUAAACCCAAGCACCUAUGGUCAACUAAUCUAUGACAAAGGAGGCAAGGAUACACAAUGGAGAAAAGACAGUCUCUUCAAUAAGUGGUGCUGGGAAAACUGGACAGCUACAUGUAAAAGAAUGAAAUUAGAACACUCCCUAACACCAUACACACAAAAAAAACCUCAAAAUGGAUUAGAGACCUAAAUGUAAGACCAGACACUAUAAAACUCUUAGAGGAAAACAUAGGAAGAACACUCUGACAUAAAUCACAGCAAGAUCUUUUUUGAUCCACCUUCUAGAGUAACGGAAAUAAAAACAAAAAUAAACAAAUGGGACCUAAUGAAACUUCAAAGCUUUUGCACAGCAAAGGAAACCAUAAACAAGACAAAAAGACAGCCCUCAGAAUGGGAGAAAAUAUUUGCAAACGAAUCAAUGGACAAAGGAUUAAUCUCCAAAAUACAUAAACAGCUCAUGCAGCUCACUAUUAAAAAAACAAACAACCCAAUCCAAAAAUGGGCAGAAGACCUAAAUAGACAUUUCUCCAAAGAAGAUAUACAGAUGGCCAAGAAGCACAUGAAAAGCUGCUCAACAUCACUAAUUAUUAGAGAAAUGCAAAUCAAAACUACAGUGAGGUAUCACUUCACACCGGUUAGAAUAGGCAUCAUCAGAAAAUCUACAAACAACAAAUGCUGGAGAGAGUGUGGAGAAAAGGGAACACUCUUGCACUGUUGGUGGGAAUGUAAAUUGAUACAGCCACUAUGGAGAACAGUAUGGAGGUUCCUUAAAAAACUAAAAAUGAAUUACCAUAUGAUCCAGCCAUCCCACUACUGGGCAUAUACCCAGAGAAAACCAUAAUUCAAAAAGACACAUGCAUCCCAAUGUUCAAUGCAGCACUAUUUACAAUAGCCAGUACAAUAGCCAGGUCAUGGAAGCAACCUAAAUGCCCAUCGACAGACAAAUGUAUAAAGAAGAUGUGGUGCAUAUAUACAGUGGAAUAUUACUCAGCCAUAAAAGGAACGAAAUUGGGUCAUUUGUUGAGACGUGGAUGGAUCCAGAGACUGUCAUACAGAGUGAAGUAAGUCAGAAAGAGAAAAACAAAUAUCAUAUAUUAACGCAUAUAUGUGGAACCUAGAAAAAUGGUACAGAUGAACUGGUUUGUAGGGCAGAAAUUGAGACACAGAUGUAGAGAACAAACAUAUGGACACCAAGCGGGGAAAGUGGCAGGGGGUGGGGGUGGUGGUGUGAUAAAUUGGGCGAUUGGGAUUGACAUGUAUACACUGAUGUGUAUAAAAUUGAUGACUAAUAAGAACCUGCUGUAUAAAAAAAUUAAAUUAAAAAAAAUACAAUAGAUUCACAAAAACCAAUAAGAAAAGAACUCAAGUGUAAUACAAAAGAAAAUUAUCAAACCACAAAAGGAAAAACAAAAAGAAGGAACAAAGAAGAAAUACAAAAUCAACUGGAAAACAAGGUUUAAAAUGGCAAUAAAUACAUACCUAUCAAUAAAUUAUCUUAAAUGUCUAUGAACUAAACACUCCAAUCAAAAGACAUAGAGUGACAGAUUGGAUAAUAAAACAAGAACCUACAACAUGCUGCCUACAAGAGAUCCACAUAGAUUAAAAAUGAAGGGAUGGAAAAAGAUAUUUCGUGCAAAUGGAAACAAAGCGAGGGUUGCAAUACCCAUAUCAGACAAAAUAAACUUUGAAACAAAGGCCAUAAAGAAAGACAAAGAAGGACACUAUAAAAUGAUGAAAGGAUCAAUACAAGAAGAGAAUAUUAUACUUAUUAUAAUAUUCUUGUUAUUAAUAUUAUAUAAUAUAAAUGCAUCCAAUAUAGGAGCACAUAAAUACAUUAAAACAAAUACUAACAAACAUUAAAAGGAGAAAUUGAUGGGAACACAGUAAUAGUAGGAGAUUUUAACACUCCACUGACAUCAGUAGACAGAUCUUCCAGGCUCAAAAAGGAAACAAAGACUCUAAAUGACACAAUAGAACAGUUAGACUUAAUUAAUAUCUACAGGACCUCAGUCUAAAAAAACCAGAAUACACAUUGUUUUCAAGUGCACAUGGAACAUUCUCUAGGAUGGACUACAUACUAGGGCACAAAACAAGCCUCAACAAAUUUAAAAGGACAGAAAUUAUUUCAAGCAUCUUCUCUGACUACAAUGGCAUGAAACUAGAAAUCAACCAGAGAAAGAGAAAUGAGAAGAAAAUGACUACAUGGAGACUAACCAACAUGCUACUAAAAAACCAAUGGGUCAGUGAUGAAAUCAAAGAGAAAAUUAAAAAAUACCUUGAGACAAAUGACAAUGAAAACACAACCAUACAAAAUCUAUGGGAUGCAGCAAAAACAAUCCUAAGAGGGGAAGUUCAUAGUGAUACAGGCCUUCUUCAAAAAAACAAGAAAAAUCUCAAAUAGACAACCUAAAAGAAUUAGAAAAAGAAGAAACAAAACCUAAAGUCAGCAGAAGGAAGGAAAUAAUAAAGAUCAGAGAGGAAAUAAAAGAGAGAAAAAAAAUAGAAAAAAAUCAAUAAAAAACCAAGAGCUGUUUUUUUGAAAGGAUAAACAAAAUCAACAAACUCUGGCCCCCAGGGAUCAUCAAGAAGAAAAGAGAAGACGAAAGGCUCACCACAAAGAAAAGAGAGGAACCAAAUAAAUAAAAUAAGAAAUGAAAGAGGAGAAAUAAGAACUGAUACCACAGAAAUUCAAAAAACCGUAAGAAAUCAUAUGCCAACAAAAUAGACAACCUAGAAGAAGUGGACAAGUUUCUUGAAACAUGCAGUCUGCCAGCACUGAAUCAAGAAACAGAUAAUUUGAACAGACUGAUCGCUAGAAAUGAAAUAGAAUUUGUAAUUUAAAAAACACCCUGCAAACAGAAGUCCAGAACUGGAUGGCUUCACUGGGGAAUUCUACCAAACAUACAAAGAACUCACACCUAUUCUUCUCAAACUCUUCCAAAAGACUGAAGAGGCGGGAACACUCCCAAAGUCAUUCUAUGAAGCCACCAUCACCCUGAUGUCAAAACCAAAGAUACUACCAAAAAAGAAUAUUACAGGCCAAUAUCUCUGAUGAAUAUAGAUGCAAAAAUCCUCAGCAAAAUAUUAGCAAACAGAAUCCAAUGACACAUAAGAAGGAUCAUAUGCCAUGAUCAAGUUGGAGUCAUUCCAGGGUCACAAAGAUGGUUCGAAACACAAAUGGACCAAUGUGAUACACCACAUCAACAAAAGAAAGGUAAAAAACCACAUGAUCAUCAAUAGAUGCAGAAAAAGCAUUUGAUAAAAUUCAACAUCCAUUCAUGAUAAAAAAUCUCACCAAAAUGGGUACAGAGGGAACAUAUCUCAACAUAAUAAAAGCCAUUUACAACAAAUCCAUAGCCAAUAUAAUACUCAAUGGUGAAAAGCUGAAAGGCUUCCUGCUAAAUUCUGGAAUGAGACAAGGACGUCCACUCUCACCACUUCUAUUUGACAUAGUAUUGGAAGUCUUAAUACAGUAAUCAGAUAAGAAAAAGAAAUAAAAUGGGAAGAGGUAAAAUUGUCAUUGUAUGCAGGUGAAAGGAUGCUCUAUAUAGAAAACCCUAGGGACUCCACACAAAAACUAUUAGAACUAAUAAAUUAAUUCAGCAAGGCAGCAGGAUACAAGAACAAUAUACAGAAAUCUGUUGCAUUUCUUUAUACUGACAAUGAAAUAUCAGAAGUAGAAAGUAAAAAACAAUUCCAUUUAAAAUAGUGUGUCCCCCCCCCACACCGCCAAAAAAAAAAAAUCUAGAAUAAACCUAACCAAGGGUGUGAAAGACCUAUAUGCUGGGAACUGUAAAACACUGAUAAAUGAAAUUGAAGAUAAUACAAAGAAAUAGAAAAAUAUCCCCUGCUACUGGAUUGGAAAAAUUAAUAUUGUUAAAACGGCCACACAACCCAAAGCAAUCUACAGAUUUAGUGUGAUCUUUAUCAAAUUACCCAUGACAUUUUUCACAGAACUAGAACAAAUAAUCCUAGAAUUUAUAUGGAACCACAAAAGACCCAGAAUUGCCAAAGCAAAACUGAGGGAAAAAACAAAGAUGGAGGCAUAACUCUCCCAGACUUCAGACAACACUACAAAGCUACAGUAAUUAAAACAGUGUGAUACUGGCACAAAAACAGACACAUAACAUCAAUGGAACAUAAUAGAGAACCCAGAAGUAAACCCAUACACGUAGUCAAUUAAUCUUCAACAAAGGAGGCAAGACUGUACAAGGGAGAAAAGACAGCCUCUUCAGCAAGUGGUGUUGGGAAAGCUGGACAGCCACAUGUAAGUCAGUAAAGUUAGAACACACCCUUACACUACGCACAAAAAUAAACUCGAAAUGGCUUAAAGACUUAAAUAUAAGACAUGACACCAUAA